rnacentral:rRNA from 1 species
AUUGAACGCUGGCGGCAUGCUUUACACAUGCAAGUCGAACGGUAACAGGCCGCAAGGUGCUGACGAGUGGCGAACGGGUGAGUAAUGCAUCGGAACGUGCCCAGUCGUGGGGGAUAACGCAGCGAAAGCUGUGCUAAUACCGCAUACGAUCUAUGGAUGAAAGCGGGGGACCGUAAGGCCUCGCGCGAUUGGAGCGGCCGAUGUCAGAUUAGGUAGUUGGUGGGGUAAAGGCCCACCAAGCCAACGAUCUGUAGCUGGUCUGAGAGGACGACCAGCCACACUGGGACUGAGACACGGCCCAGACUCCUACAGGAGGCAGCAGUGGGGAAUUUUGGACAAUGGGCGCAAGCCUGAUCCAGCAAUGCCGCGUGCAGGAAGAAGGCCUUCGGGUUGUAAACUGCUUUUGUACGGAACGAAACGGUCUGGGUUAAUACCCUGGGCUAAUGACGGUACCGUAAGAAUAAGCACCGGCUAACUACGUGCCAGCCGCCGCCGUAAAAC